GAUGAAGAACGCAGCGAAAUGCGAUACGUAAUGUGAAUUGCAGAUUCAGUGAAUCAUCGAGUCUUUGAACGCACAUUGCGCCCCCUGGUAUUCCGGGGGGCAUGCCUGUCCGAGCGUCAUUGCUGCCCUCAAGCACGGCUUGUGUGUUGGGCCCCGUCCUCCGAUCCCGGGGGACGGGCCCGAAAGGCAGCGGCGGCACCGCGUCCGGUCCUCGAGCGUAUGGGGCUUUGUCACCCGCUCUGUAGGCCCGGCCGGCGCUUGCCGAUCAACCCAAAUUUUUAUCCAGGUUGACCUCGGAUCAGGUAGGGAUACCCGCUGAACUUAAGCAUAUCAAUAAGCGGAGGA
rnacentral:misc_RNA from 1 species